GGCCGGGGGAAGUGGAGUUGCCCCCUGGCACCUGGUUUAGAGAGAGGCCAGGAAAGGGCUAGUGAGAAGAGAAGCAACCAAAGCCAGCUUCUCAGUUGCUAAAAUGACCAGGAGGAUUUGGGGAGGCCAAGUUGGACCAGAUAGCCAGUACCUCACAGUGGGCAGCCUGAGGUCCUGUUCUUCCUUCCUGAGAACUUCUCCAGCCCCUUUCCUGUAAGAAGCUUUAAAAACUCCACCCACAGGCGGCCAACACUAAGGUAAUUCACAUUCCCGUGCAAUCACAGGGUGCUUUCUACUCUUCAUUUGCUGCCCAGCCAUGAUCUCAUCCCUCUAAGACACACUGCCCUCCAGAAACGAUGGGUGUCGCUAGAUCCAGCUGGGACUCUGCCAGCCUCCGGCACUCAGUCUAAGAGAAGGGCCAUCUUCCAGCCCUGCUGUCCCUGCCUGUCAUGGCCACAUUCGGCUGCUGUCUGCAUGUCUGGGGACACAGGGCACCCAGCCCCAGCCCUGAGAAGUUAAGCCAGGCCUUCUGGCUCAGUUCCACAGGGGCACUCCAGACCCCAGGCCCCUUUCAGAGCAAAAGCAACUGAUGCUAUGGGAGAAGCCCCUGCCUACCUGUCCACUCGCCUGGCACUGCCCACUCUGAGACCCAUGCACUGGGUUCCCCUGGAGGUGCCAACCCUGUGAGUCCCUCCCUGUCCCCCGACGCUGAGAAGGCCCUGCCCACCCCCACCAUGUGUGAGGUGAUGCCCACAAUCAAUGAGGGGGACCCCUUGGGUCCCCCCCAUGGCGCCGAUGCUGACGCCAACUUCGAGCAGCUGAUGGUGAACAUGCUGGAUGAGCGGGAGAAGUUGCUGGAGUCUCUUCGGGAGAGUCAGGAGACCUUGGCGGCCACACAGAGCCGGCUCCAGGAUGCCCUACAUGAGCGGGACCAGCUCCAGCGCCACCUUAACUCCGCCCUCCCCCAGGAAUUUGCCACCUUAACCCGGGAGCUGAGCAUGUGUCGGGAGCAGCUUCUAGAGCGGGAGGAAGAGAUAUCAGAACUGAAAGCAGAACGGAAUAACACACGGCUGCUUCUGGAACAUCUGGAGUGCCUGGUGUCCCGCCAUGAACGGUCACUGCGGAUGACUGUGGUGAAGCGCCAGGCCCAGUCACCUUCGGGGGUCUCCAGUGAGGUGGAGGUGCUGAAGGCCCUCAAGUCACUGUUUGAGCACCACAAGGCCCUGGAUGAGAAGGUGCGAGAGCGGCUCCGGGCAGCGCUGGAGCGAGUCACCACCUUGGAGGAGCAGCUGGCAGGUGCCCACCAGCAGGUGUCUGCCCUGCAGCAGGGGGCAGGGGUGCGGGAUGGAGCGGCAGAAGAGGAGGGGACUGUGGAGCUGGGGCCGAAACGCCUGUGGAAGGAGGACGCGGGCCGGGUAGAGGAGCUGCAGGAGCUCCUGGAGAAGCAGAACUUUGAGCUGAGCCAGGCCCGGGAGCGACUGGUCACCCUGACAGCAACCGUGACUGAACUCGAGGAGGACCUGGGCACGGCCCGCCGGGACCUCAUCAAGUCGGAGGAGCUGAGCAGCAAGCAUCAGCGGGACCUCCGGGAGGCUCUGGCCCAGAAGGAGGACAUGGAAGAGCGGAUUACUACACUGGAGAAGCGCUACCUGGCUGCUCAGCGCGAGGCAACAUCCAUCCAUGACCUCAAUGACAAGCUGGAGAAUGAGCUGGCCAACAAGGAGUCCCUGCACCGCCAGUGUGAGGAGAAGGCCCGACACCUGCAGGAGCUGCUGGAGGUGGCAGAGCAGAAGCUGCAGCAGACGAUGCGCAAGGCAGAGACGCUGCCAGAGGUGGAGGCUGAGCUGGCCCAGAGAAUUGCAGCCCUCACCAAGGCUGAAGAACGACAUGGCAACAUUGAGGAGCACCUGCGGCAGCUGGAGGGACAGCUGGAGGAGAAGAACCAGGAGCUGGCACGGGUGCGCCAGCGGGAAAAGAUGAAUGAGGACCACAACAAGCGGCUGUCGGACACAGUGGACCGGCUGCUCAGCGAGUCCAACGAGCGUCUGCAGCUCCACCUGAAGGAGCGCAUGGCAGCCCUGGAGGAGAAGAACACGUUGAUCCAGGAGUUGGAGAGCUCCCAGCGGCAGAUUGAGGAGCAGCACCACCACAAGGGCCGCCUGUCUGAAGAGAUUGAGAAGCUGCGCCAAGAGGUGGACCAGCUGAAGGGCCGAGGGGGGCCGUUUGUGGAUGGCGUCCACUCCAGGUACUGCAGCACCAGAGGCUGGGCAUGCCAGGACGGGGUCCUGAUGGAUGCUGAGUCGCACAUGGGCAGUGCAGCAGACGUGCGGUUCUCCCUGGGCACAACCACACACGCACCCCCAGGCGUGCAUCGCCGCUACUCAGCAUUGAGGGAAGAGUCUGCCAAGGACUGGGAGACUUCUCCACUGCCUGGGAUGCUGGCCCCGGCAGCUGCCCCUGCCUUUGACAGUGACCUUGAGAUCUCCGACGUGGAUGAGGAUGAGCCAGGGGGUCUGGUGGGCUCUGCAGACGUUGUCUCCCCCAGCGGCCACUCAGAUGCCCAGACCCUGGCCAUGAUGCUGCAGGAGCAGCUGGAUGCCAUCAAUGAGGAAAUCAGGAUGAUUCAGGAAGAGAAGGAGUCCACGGAGCUCCGCGCGGAGGAGAUUGAGACGCGUGUAACCAGCGGCAGCAUGGAGGCCCUAAACCUGAAGCAGCUGCGCAAGCGUGGUUCCAUCCCCACCUCUCUGACGGCCCUGUCCCUGGCCAGCGCGUCCCCACCACUCAGCGGCCGCUCCACACCUAAGCUGACCUCCCGCAGUGCUGCCCAGGACCUGGACCGAAUGGGGGUCAUGACCCUGCCCAGUGACUUAAGAAAGCAUAGGAGGAAGCUGCUGUCGCCAGUGUCUCGGGAAGAGAACCGAGAGGAUAAAGCCACCAUAAAAUGUGAGACUUCUCCUCCUUCCUCACCCAGGACGCUGCGGCUAGAGAAGCUUGGCCACCCAGCCCUGAGCCAGGAAGAAGGCAAGAGUGCCUUGGAGGAUCAGGGCAGCAACCCCAGCAGCAGCAACAGCAGCCAGGACUCCCUGCACAAGGGCGCCAAGCGCAAGGGCAUCAAGUCGUCCAUUGGCCGCCUGUUUGGGAAGAAGGAGAAGGGCAGGCUGAUCCAGCUGAGUCGGGAUGGAGCCACAGGCCAUGUUCUGCUAACAGACUCCGAAUUCAGUAUGCAGGAGCCUAUGGUACCUGCCAAACUGGGGACCCAGGCAGAGAAGGACCGGCGGCUAAAGAAGAAACACCAGCUGCUUGAGGAUGCCCGCAGGAAAGGAAUGCCCUUUGCCCAGUGGGAUGGUCCUACUGUGGUCUCCUGGUUGGAGCUCUGGGUGGGGAUGCCUGCCUGGUACGUGGCAGCCUGCCGGGCCAACGUCAAGAGUGGUGCCAUCAUGUCCGCUCUGUCGGACACAGAGAUCCAGCGGGAGAUCGGCAUCAGCAAUGCCCUGCACCGGCUCAAGCUCCGCCUGGCCAUUCAGGAGAUGGUGUCAUUGACCAGCCCCUCUGCCCCGCCCACCUCCAGGACUUCUUCUGGGAAUGUCUGGGUCACCCAUGAAGAGAUGGAAACUCUGGAAACAUCUACUAAAACAGACAGUGAGGAGGGCAGCUGGGCUCAGACCCUGGCCUAUGGGGACAUGAACCAUGAGUGGAUUGGGAAUGAAUGGCUACCCAGCCUGGGGCUCCCGCAGUACCGCAGCUACUUCAUGGAGUGCCUGGUGGACGCCCGCAUGCUGGACCACCUCACCAAGAAGGACCUGCGGGUCCACCUGAAGAUGGUGGACAGCUUCCAUCGAACCAGUCUUCAGUAUGGCAUCAUGUGUCUGAAGAGGCUGAAUUAUGACCGGAAGGAGCUGGAGAAGAGGCGAGAGGAGAGCCAGCACGAGAUCAAGGAUGUGUUAGUCUGGACCAACGACCAGGUGGUUCAUUGGGUCCAGUCUAUUGGGCUCCGGGACUACGCAGGAAACCUGCGUGAGAGUGGUGUGCAUGGAGCCUUGCUGGCCCUGGACGAGAACUUCGACCACAACACACUGGCCCUGAUCCUCCAGAUCCCCACACAGAACACCCAGGCACGCCAAGUGAUGGAAAGAGAGUUCAAUAACCUGUUGGCCUUGGGCACAGACCGGAAGCUGGAUGACGGGGAUAACAAGGUGUUCCGCCGCGCGCCCUCCUGGAGGAAGCGCUUCCGGCCGCGGGAGCACCACGGUGGCGGCGGCAUGCUCAGCGCUUCAGCGGAGACCCUCCCGGCGGGCUUCCGUGUGUCCACCCUGGGGCCCCUGCAGCCCCCGCCGGCCCCGCCAAAGAAGAUCAUGCCUGAAGCCGGGACGGCGGGGUCGCAGAGACUGGAGACCUCCACGGUUCGGACCUACUCCUGCUGACCCCCCAUCCUCCCGCCCCGGGUCUGACGGGGGUGUGCCCGUGGCUCGGGCUCACUCCCACUAUCUCUACGGACACAUGCUCUCCGCCUUCCGGGACUAGCCACGGCCCCCAGGGCUGGCUUCUUCCUUCUGGGUUUCACAGGCUCCUCUGGCCCUGACCCCUCCUGCUCGUUCCCCUUCCUUCCGCGGCUUCUAGUCUCGUCCGUGACUUUCCGGUUGCCCUGGAUCUCAGAAUAUAUUUGUCCACCCCCUCGGCACCCCACUACCCUGAGUCCCACCGUGUGUCCGUUGUAAGUCUGGUGGGUGUGGCUGGGGUCUCCUGGUAUCGUGGAGGCACCCAGGUUGUCCACGCUUGGGAUUCUGGGGGAAGGAGAGAAGGGCAGCCCAGGGUGAAUGUGAAGCCACCCUUCCUCUUCUGGACCCAGCCUGGUCUGCACUGCAACCUCCACCAGGACCAGGAUCCUGGGCCACAGGCUGGGAUGAUCCUUCCAAGAAAGGGUCGUUUCAGAUGCAGCCCUGCUUGGGCUAUUGAACCUUAGGGUGUCCGUCCACAUCUGGCUGUGCCAAAUGGUCUGACAGCCAGCAUCACCACUCUCCCGACCCAUCACCAUGACUGCGGUUCCUGCCCCCAUUCUGUUGGGGACAGGGAGGGGCUGGGAAGGGCUACUGAAGGCCCCAUUCUCCUGCAGGAUGUCGAGGCUGGGAGGAGGAAGACUGAGGUAGAGAUUCCAGGCCCUAGCAUAAGCUGAAUCCCAAAUGUGGGUUUGGGAAGAACCAGAGAGAAAUGGAUCCCUGAGCUCUGAGCCAAGGGUGAGGAUGGGGAAACUCUAAGCUCCUGCCCAAUAAGAGGUAUAGGCAGACCAGCCAGAGGGAGAGCCAAUGGCCUCUGGUAGCCUUAAGCCCAAAGGGCAGUGGGAAUGUCCCCUGCCCCAACCAUUGGGUGGAGCUCCUGCUGGGCUGUGGGGAAGGGAGGUUGUGUGGAUCUUGACUCUGGGGCAGAACAGAUCUAACCAUGCGUUGCUAGCUCUGCUCCAGCAUCCCUUCCCCUUCUCUCCUCCUCUGCAUCACUUCUUUAGUAAUCCCAGCCCUAUAAAAAUGAACCUGAUGGGUGGAUUGAAUAUACAUUGGCCCUAAAGUCAUGUUUGGGGAAAAGGCAGACGAAGGCCUCCUUUCUCUGACCUCCCAGGAAGAAAAUAGCUUCUCCUACAGUGAUUCAUGUCCCAGGUCCAGGAAAUCCAAUGUUGGUGAAGGCAGCCACUCUCCUGCUUGUCCCCAAAUCACCUAACCCUCAUCCAGGGCUGUUUUGGUGAGCAGGGACUGCCUCCUCCCGGAAUUCCUAAGAUCCACCCAGCUUGCACCAUUUUCAUUGCUUUCCCCAGCAGCAUGAUGGGAACCCGAGCUGAGGGAUACAGGUCCUGAUUUGGUAGGAAUAUUAUUCCCAAGAAAUACCCCUCCUCACCUACUCCCUCCUCCUACCAAGGUGCCUGAAAAUGUUCAAGACUUAUGUUCAGGGUGGGAUGAUGGAACCUAGGGCUUCAUCAAAGUGAGAGGAAAGGAAAAGCAUCUGGCAUGUGUUUCUUGGAUAGGGGCCAGUGCAGUGCCAUCCUACAGGUGGCUGGAGCAGCUGCUUUGCAACCUGAUCACCUGGAGUUCUGAGCAGGGGCUAGGCUUGCAGGUGAGAUAAUGGGCCAGGGCACCCAGUCCAGAAGGAGCAAUGGCACCUGGGCAGUGCCAGGGCUUAGAGCCUGCUCCUCCUUUUCAGUAGAGGAGAGGCCCAUCACUGGUGUGGUGGGGUGGGCUCUCCCCUAGGCUUGGGCAAGGCAGCCACCUGCCCUUGCUCUCCCUUAGUGUUCCCUGGCCUCCCUGCCAUCAGGUUGCUGGGAGUGGAGAUGGAGGGAUUAUUGAGCAGAAAAUGAGUUGGAUGGAGAUAAAGAGCUCCCAUCCCUGGGUAAUGGAUAUUAAGAUGAUGGAGAUUCCUAAGAUUGGUGGAGUUGGGCAAUGCACAGCCAUCUGACUCCUUCAGGGUGCUCUUGAUGGGCUGGCUGUAAGGGAGACUCAGUCCCAGCCUCUCCCCUCUACAACUCCUGCCACUGUUGGCCAUGUCGUAAGGCAGCAGCUGUGCCAGGAUAGCUGGGUCCAUUCAGAGCACCUUGAGAAGUAUUGCAGGGAGGUGUUAAGAAGAGAAAUCUGUGCAAACAGUGAUGGAAGGCUGUUGUCUUGGUGUAUCCCUUGCCUCAUAGUCAAUAUAUUUUUUUCUUUGGCGAGUCACCAGUGACCCAAGCCCUCCACACCAGCCUCCUGUAUCUCAUCAGGUCCCUUCUCAGUACUGUAUUUGCUCAGUGCAUCAGGAAUGGGUGUAUGGGUGUGUGUGGGUGGCUGUGAGUGUGAGUGUGUACGUACCAAUAAACAACCUGGUUUUAAGACAAUGUA